AGGAGCGAGAGCAGCCAUCAAGACAAGCAACACGUGAAACGGAAGAAAAACUAAAAGUUGAUCAAAGUCGACAAAAAACUUGCUGGAUAACUUCACCGCGAUCCUGUGAGAGCAAGGCGAGAAGAUCCUGUCAUCAAUAGUCACGGAGAAAAAAAUGCAUUGGUCAGGUUUUUUGUGGAUCCUGAGAGUUCCCGACCCACCUGGAGUUGGAGCUUAGGGACUAUUGGAUACUUGAUGGCGAGCUACGGCCCAAUGGAGAAGAACUAGAGACUCAAUAGCAUGCAGAAGAUUGGAACCCUGAACUCCAGAAACUUUGCUUCCACACACCGUCAACUCGUUCAACAGUGCGGUAGGACAAACAUUUGCCACUUUCCCAGUGGACUGAGCAGUAUUAUCUGCUGCAAGGAUUAAGUGAUUGAGCUGAAGGGGUUAAAUUGAACAUUGAAUCUAAAGACUAUUGAUACAGUUGUGAAUUAUUUUAUUUUUCAUUUUUAUACUUACCCGGGUAAGAAUUGUAUUGUGUUACUGUAUACCGUAUAACUGUUUUCUAUUCAUCCUUUCCUAUUUUUUAUUAAAUGGAAGAGUAAUUCUUUCUCAAAGAAGA